GAUGAAGAACGUAGUGAAAUGCGAUAAGUAGUGUGAAUUGCAGAAUCCAGUGAAUCAUCGAAUCUUUGAACGCACAUUGCGCCCCUUGGUAUCCCGAGGGGCAUGCCUGUUCGAGCGUCAUUUCACCACUCAAGCCUGGCUUGGUGUUGGGCGACGUCCCCUUUGGGGACGCGCCUCGAAACGCUCGGCGGCGUGGCACCGGCUUUAAGCGUAGCAGAAUCUUUCGCUUUGGAAGUCGGGGCCCCGUCUGCCGGAAGACCUACUCGCAAGGUUGACCUCGGAUCAGGCAGGGAUACCCGCUGAACUUAAGCAUAUCAAUAAGCGGAGGA
rnacentral:misc_RNA from 1 species